rnacentral:rRNA from 1 species
GACGAACGCUGGCGGCGCGCUUAACACAUGCAAGUCGAGCGAGAACCAGGUCUUCGGACUUGGGGAAAGCGGCGAACGGGUGAGUAACACGUGAGUAAUCCACCCUCGGCACCGGGAUAGCCCGGGGAAACUCGGAUUAAUACCGGAUGGCCCAACAGCUCUUCGGGGCGGUUGGGAAAGGUAGCUUAGGCCUCUGGCCGAGGACGAGCUCGCGGCGGAUAGCUUGGUUUGGUGGGGUAAUGGCCUACCAAGGCGACGAUCCGUAGCUGGUCUGAGAGGACGAUCAGCCACACUGGGACUGAGACACGGCCCAGACCCUACGGGAGGCAGCGUGGGGAAUCUUGCACAAUGGGCGAAAGCCUGAUGCAGGCGCCGCGGUGAGGGAAGAAGGCUUUCGGGUUGUAAACCUCUUUCAGGAGGGACGAAGCUUACUCGGGUUAAUAGCCCAGAGGUGACGGGUACCUCCAUGAAGAAGCCCCGGCUAACUACGUGCCAGCAGCCGCGGUAAUACGUAGGGGGCAAGCGUUGUCCGGAUUUAUUGGCGUAAAGGAGCGUGUAGGCGGCCAGAUAGGUCCGUUGUGAAAACUCGAGGCUCAACCUCGAGACGCCGAUGGAAACCAUUUGGCUAGAGUCCGGAAGAGGAGAGUGGAAUUCUGGUGCUGUAGACGCGAAAGCGUGGGGAGCGAACAGGAUUAGAUCCCUGGUAGUCCACGCCGUAAACGAUGGGUGCUAGGUGUGGGGGGGUGUCGACUCCCUCCGGUCCGAAGCUAACGCAUUAAGCACCCCGCCUGGGGAGUACGGCCGCAAGGCAAAACUCAAAGGAAUUGACGGGGGCCCGCACAAGCAGCGGAGCAUGUGGUUUAAUUCGACGCAACGCGAAGAACCUUACCUAGGCUUGACAUGCACGGGAAUGUCGUGGAAACACGGCAGCCCUUCGGGGCUCGUGCACAGGUGUUGCAUGGGCUGGUCGUCAGCUCGUGUCGUGAGAUGUUGGGUUAAGUCCCGCAACGAGCGCUAACCCCUGUCCCAUGUGCCAGCGUGAAAGACGGGGACUCAUGGGAGACUGCCGGUGACAAAUCGGAGGAAGGUGGGGAUGACGAAGUCAGCAUGACCCUUAUGCCUAGGGCUACACACGUGCUACAUUGGCCGGUACAAAGGGCUGCAAACCCGCGAGGGGGAGCGAAUCCCAAAAAGCCGGUCCCGGUUCGGAUUGGAGGCUGAAACUCGCCUCCAUGAAGGCGGAGUUGCUAGUAAUCGCGAAUCAGCAACGUCGCGGUGAAUACGUUCCCGGGCC